rnacentral:tRNA from 1 species
GCCCAGGUGGCGAAAUUGGUAGACGCACUACGUUCAGGUCGUAGCGGGAGCAAUCCCAUGGAAGUUCAAGUCUUCUCCUGGGCA